CCUACGGGAGGCAGCAGUAGGGAAUAUUGCUCAAUGGGGGAAACCCUGAAGCAGCAACGCCGCGUGGAGGAUGAAGGUUUUCGGAUUGUAAACUCCUUUUGUUAGAGAAUAUAAUGACGGUAUCUAACUAAUAAGCACCGGCUAACUCCGUGCCAGCAGCCGCGGUAAUACGGAGGGGGCAAGCGUUACUCGGAAUCACUGGGCGUAAAGAGCGCGUAGGCGGAAUAUCAAGUCAGCUGUGAAAUCCUAUGGCUUAACCUUA
rnacentral:rRNA from 1 species